AUACAGAGGGUGCGAGCGUUAAUCGGAAUUACUGGGCGUAAAGCGCGCGUAGGCGGCUACUUAAGUCAGAUGUGAAAUCCCCGGGCUCAACCUGGGAACUGCAUCUGAUACUGGGUAGCUCGAGUUUAGGAGAGGGAAGUAGAAUUUCAGGUGUAGCGGUGAAAUGCAUAGAGAUCUGAAGGAAUACCAGUGGCGAAGGCGGCUUCCUGGCCUAAAACUGACGCUGAGGUGAGAAAGCGUGGGUAGCAAACGGGAUUAGAAACCCGAGUAGUCC
rnacentral:rRNA from 1 species